rnacentral:rRNA from 1 species
UACGAAGGGGGGCUAGCGUUGUUCGGAAUUACUGGGCGUAAAGCGCGCGCAGGCGGUCUUCCAAGUCAGUGGUGAAAGCCCGGAGCUCAACUCCGGAAUUGCCAUUGAAACUGUUAGACUUGAGGAUGAGAGAGGUGAGUGGAAUUCCCAGUGUAGAGGUGAAAUUCGUAGAUAUUGGGAAGAACACCGGUGGCGAAGGCGGCUCUCUGGGACGGUACUGACGCUGAGACGCGAAAGCGUGGGGGAGCGAACAGG